CUAAGAAUCUUCCGCAAUGGGCGAAAGCCUGACGGAGCGACGCCGCGUGGACGAUGAAGGCCGAAAGGUUGUAAAGUCCUUUUCUCUGUGAAGAAUAAGUGGGGGAGGAAAUGCCCCUAUGAUGACGUUAGCAGAGGAAUAAGCUCCGGCUAAUUACGUGCCAGCAGCCGCGGUACUACGUAAGGGGCGAGCGUUGUUCGGAAUUAUUGGGUGUAAAGGGUGCGUAGGCGGUUUGACAAGUCUGGUGUUGAAGGCAACGGCUUAACCGUUGUUUGGCGCUGGAAACUGUUUGACUUGAG
rnacentral:rRNA from 1 species